AGACUAAAAUGACUAAUCAAAUAUAUAUUUAAAAAUGUGUUUACAAUUUUGAUACAUCCGUGAACUAUAGCAAACUCGUCUCACACAUUCAUAGAUCAAUAUGGUUGGUUAAAAAAAAAGUCAUUUAUUCUAUAACUCUAAUCGAAGAAGUAUGAAUUAACAAUUACACACACGUACACGUCCUUGGUAUCUAACUUUGGUUAGACAAGACAAAUUUAAUGCUCUAAUCAAAUAUGCUUUCUUUGAUGCUAUUUUGCCAUCUCUUUUCUCCAUGUGAUGUAAAGUAACAUUCACUUGAUGAGGAAAUUUAGUUCAUCAAUCAAGUGUAAAGAUAAAUGCCCAUCUAUCUAUCGUUGAGAUGAGAUUAUGCCGUAGGACCAUAAACUAAAGCUAAAUAUAGGCAAAGGUGAGUGGACGGUGUGUAUGUGAGCUUUGUCCUUUUUUGCAUACAUAGAUAAACAUGGAUAUUGGAAUUGAUUGGGUUAGGCCAUCGC
rnacentral:lncRNA from 1 species